rnacentral:rRNA from 1 species
AUUGAACGCUGGCGGCAGGCUUAACACAUGCAAGUCGAACGAGCGGCGGACGGGUGAGUAAUGCUUGGGAAUCUGCCCUAUGGAGGGGGAUAACUACUGGAAACUGUCGCUAAUACCGCGUACCAUCGGAUGAGCCCAUGUGGGAUUAGCUAGUUGGUGGGGUAAUGGCCUACCAACCGACGAUCUCUAGCUGGUCUGAGAGGAUGACCAGCCAAACCGGGACUGAGACACGGCCCAGACUCAUACGGGAGGCAGCAGUGGGGAAUAUUGCGCAAUGGGGGCAAGCCUGAUGCAGCCAUGCCGCGUGAAUGAAGAAGGCCUUCGGGUUGUAAAGUACUUUCAGUGAGGAGGCGUUAAUCGCAGAAGAAGCACCGGCUAACUCCGUGCCAGCAGCCGCGGUAAUAC